ACACUCACGCACAUGAGAGAAAGCCAUCCCUCUGCAUCACACCUCUAUCGGCGUCACCGCCGCCGCCGCCGCCGCCGCCACCGCCACCGCUGCCAUAUCUCCUGCAUCAACGAUACUUAGUAGGUGAUGAAGGUUCCAUAGAUGAUUAACGACAGUCAUGAUAGAGGGUUUUAAGGGAGAGUGGGUCGAUGCCUUAGGAUGGUUGAAUUGUCACAAAUCUGAAAACACGUGUGUGGUUAAAUGACUGAUGGUUGUGGAUAUGGUUCAACAGAUCGGCGUUGCUAGGGUUCCGACGAGAUUUUAGCAAGAUUCUGGUGACCCGGUUCAGGACUUAAAAGCUGGACUCGCACCUCUUCGUCUCGCCAAAGUCGCAGGCAAUGCUCCCAGCAAGUCAAAAUGAUGACUUGGUUGGGAGCAGCAUCAAACAAAACUAACAAUAGAAGGAACAAUGAUCUUAUAACAAUAAAAAUCAACACUCAUGAAAAAGGAAAUGACCAAGGAGAUGCUGCUUUGGUUUAUGUGGAAGUUCAAACGGAUCACAAAAAGGUAGGAAAAACCCAAGUUUCGCUUCAAAUUAUGUGUGGGGUUGGUUAACUUUUGUCAUUAAGUAUAUUGGUUAUCUAAAGAAUUGUACAAUAAUAGACUUAUUGG